AGAAUGAACGCUGGCGGCAUGCCUAACACAUGCAAGUCGAACGAAGGCUUCGGCCUUAGUGGCGCACGGGUGCGUAACGCGUGGGAAUCUACCCUUAGGUUCGGAAUAACAGUUGGAAACGACUGCUAAUACCGGAUGAUGACGUAAGUCCAAAGAUUUAUCGCCUAGGGAUGAGCCCGCGUAGGAUUAGCUAGUUGGUGUGGUAAAGGCGCACCAAGGCGACGAUCCUUAGCUGGUCUGAGAGGAUGAUCAGCCACACUGGGACUGAGACACGGCCCAGACUCCUACGGGAGGCAGCAGUGGGGAAUAUUGGACAAUGGGCGAAAGCCUGAUCCAGCAAUGCCGCGUGAGUGAUGAAGGCCUUAGGGUUGUAAAGCUCUUUUACCCGGGAUGAUAAUGACAGUACCGGGAGAAUAAGCUCGGCUAACUCCGUGCCAGCAGCCGC
rnacentral:rRNA from 1 species